GAUGAACGCUGGCGGCGUGCCUAAUACAUGCAAGUCGAGCGAACAGAUGAGGAGCUUGCUCCUCUGACGUUAGCGGCGGACGGGUGAGUAACACGUGGAUAACCUACCUAUAAGACUGGGAUAACUUCGGGAAACCGGAGCUAAUACCGGAUAAUAUAUUGAACCGCAUGGUUCAAUAGUGAAAGACGGCUUUGCCGUCACUUAUAGAUGGAUCCGCGCCGCAUUAGCUAGUUGGUAAGGUAACGGCUUACCAAGGCAACGAUGCGUAGCCGACCUGAGAGGGUGAUCGGCCACACUGGAACUGAGACACGGUCCAGACUCCUACGGGAGGCAGCAGUAGGGAAUCUUCCGCAAUGGGCGAAAGCCUGACGGAGCAACGCCGCGUGAGUGAUGAAGGUCUUCGGAUCGUAAAACUCUGUUAUUAGGGAAGAACAAAUGUGUAAGUAACUAUGCACGUCUUGACGGUACCUAAUCAGAAAGCCACGGCUAACUACGUG
rnacentral:rRNA from 1 species